rnacentral:rRNA from 1 species
UAUUGGACAAUGGGGGCAACCCUGAUCCAGCCAUGCCGCGUGUGUGAAGAAGGCCUUUUGGUUGUAAAUCACUUUAAGCAGUGAAGAAGACUCCGUGGUUAAUACCCACGGACGAUGACAUUAGCUGCAGAAUAAGCACCGGCUAACUCUGUUCCAGCAGCCGCGGUAAUACAGAGGGUUCCAGCGUUAAUCGGAAUUACUGGGCGUAAAGCGAGCGUAGGUGGCUUGAGAAGUCAGAUGUGAAAUCCCCGGGCGUAAACUGGGAACUGCAUCUGAUACUGUUAGGCUAGAAUAGGUGAGAGGAAGGUAGAAUUCCAGGUGUAGCGGUGAAAUGCGUAGAGAUCUGGAGGAAUACCGAUGGCGAAGGCAGCCUUCUGGCAUCAUAUUGACACUGAGGUUCGAAAGCGUGGGUAGCAAACAG